rnacentral:rRNA from 1 species
AAUAGAUACCCUGGUAGUCCACGCCGUAAACGUUGGGCACUAGGUGUGGGAUCUUUCCAACGGAUUCCGUGCCGUAGCUAACGCAUUAAGUGCCCCGCCUGGGGAGUACGGCCGCAAGGCUAAAACUCAAAAGGAAUUGACGGGGGCCCGCACAAGCGGCGGAGCAUGUUGCUUAAUUCGAGGCAACGCGAAGAACCUUACCUGGGCUUGACAUGCUGGGAAAAGCCACAGAGAUGUGGUGUCCUUCGGGGCCCAGCACAGGUGGUGCAUGGCUGUCGUCAGCUCGUGUCGUGAGAUGUUGGGUUAAGUCCCGCAACGAGCGCAACCCUUGUCCUAUGUUGCCAGCGGGUAAUGCCGGGGACUCGUAGGAGACUGCCGGGGUCAACUCGGAGGAAGGUGGGGACGACGUCAAGUCAUCAUGCCCCUUAUGUCCAGGGCUGCAAACAUGCUACAAUGGCCGGUACAAAGGGCUGCUAUACCGCGAGGUUGAGCGAAUCCCAGAAAGCCGGUCUCAGUUCGGAUUGAAGU